GCCAGGAUGGCCGAGUGGUCUAAGGCGAUGGUUUUAAGUUUUACUUAAUUUCACCAUUAUCGAGAGAUGCGUGAGUUCGAACCUCACUUCUGGCA
rnacentral:tRNA from 1 species